AUGGCUCCUCCGUAUGGGAUGCUCUCCCCCGUUGUAGGACUUCUUGUGAAAGGAAUAUGGAAGCCCAUCAAGAAGCACUGCGGUGACUGCCUGAAGCCUGGAAACAAAAUUGAUGAUCUGGAAACAUCUUGGGAUGGUCUAAAAGUCCACGUAGAUACUAUUGCUGAGCAAAUACAAUUGGGUAAGAGACCGAGGGUUCAAACAACAAAAUGGAUAGAAAAUGCCCAAUCAAUGGCAGACAAAUCACACGCAAUCAUAAAUAAGUUCGAGGGAAGGAGCAAACAUAUGUUAGGUUGCUCUUGGAAUUGUUGGUUCAACUACGGGAUUGGUCGUGCUGCCAGAAAGAGCAAGAAAGAAGUUGACGAACUCAAGGAGGGAGCUCCCCAAGAUGAUCAUCUCUUCACUUUGCUCCCACCGGUUGGCAUAGAACUGCCUCUGCCACCUCAUAUCGUGGGGCAAAACGAGUAUAUGGAUAAGAUUGUUGGCUGCAUUGAAGAAGGUUCCACGCGCUUGGCUGGGAUAUGUGGCAUGGGAGGGGCAGGAAAAACUACUCUCCUCAAGCAAUUAAACAACACCUUUAGUUGCACUGCAGAAAUGCACACAUUCCAUCAUGUGAUCUAUGUGGAAAUUGGUCAGCAACCAAAUCUGCGUACAGUUCAGCAGAGCAUUGCAUCCCAGCUUGGGCUGACGCUUGGACAUGAGGAUAUGACGUCUAGAUCUGCAUCCCUCUACAACUUCCUGAAGGAAAGGAAGUUUUUAUUGUUGAUGGAUAACCUUUGGCAACCACUGGACCUAGAGAAGGUUGGGAUACCACAAGAGCACAUUCAAAACAGCCCACAAAAUAGGCAGAUGAUUGUAAUCACAUCACGAGAUCAACAAAUAUGCCGAAGAAUGCAAGCACAUAGUGAGGUGUUCAUGUUACAAAAGCUCAAGUUUGAAGAAGCGUGGAGUCUCUUCGAAGUGAAUGUGGGCUGCAGUAGACUAACCAACACCAAUGCACAAAUCAGAGCUUAUGCUGAGAGCAUUGUUCACAAGUGUGGAGGCCUUCCACUAGCACUUAAGAUAGUUGGCCAGGCUAUGGCAUCAAAAGAAAGUGAACAAGAGUGGGAAUUCGUUGUGAUGUUGCUUCAACGGUCUCAAUUCAAUCAAGUUCCAGAUGCAUAUGCAGAAAGUGACCUAUAUCAUGUACUGUACAUCAGUUAUGAGCAACUUCCAGAUACAAGGACAAAGCAAUGUUUCCUUUCCUUUACUCUAAAAGUAGAAGAUUAUGUAUAUGUGCCAUAUGCAAUACAUCUCUGGAUGGGACAUGGAUUACUUGAUGAGGAUAAUGAUAUGAGAACCAACGAUUUGAGAGGCCAUGCUGUUGUUGGAUGUCUAAAAAGAGCAUGUCUAUUAGAAGAACAUUCAAGAGGGAAAAAUUACCUAAGCAUGCAUGAUACAGUCAAAGGUCUGGCUCUUUGGAUCAUACAAAAUAAACAAGGAGAUGGACCUAGCAAGAAUUGGCUAGUACAUAAAGGAGAUAAAACCAUGAAAUUAGAAGACUGGUGCACUGCCCAUAGGAUUUCACUCCAUAACUUGAAGGAUGUGGUAAUCCCUAGUUCUGUCCCUUGGCGUUGGCUAUUAACUCUCAUACUCACAAGAAGCAAUAUUAUUGGCAAUGUUCCUACAGGCUUCUUUAAAACUGCUCCAUCUCUCACCUUCUUGGAUAUAAGUCGCACUAAUAUCCGGGAACUCCCAUCAGAUGUUGGAGAAUUAGUGAACUUGCAGCACCUUGAUCUUUCAAGCACUCCAAUCCAGUCGAUCCCAAUGGAGCUUCAACAUUUGAAAUGUUUGAGGUACCUAUAUUUAGGAUACACCUAUGAGCUGGUAACAAUCCCAAAUGGGACAAUAUCUGCUCUAACAACGUUGAGAGUCUUUGAUUUAUACUCUAGUGGGACCUUCCUAGAGGACACAACACAGGCAUGCAUUAAGGAGUUGGAGAGUUCGGCAUGGAUACAAUCAUUGGGGUUCACCGUUAGCGAUUCUAAUUCACUUCAAAGGAUACUCAACUAUUCUAAGGCCUCCUUGAAAUCCCUUUGUUUGAGAGAAGUGAAAGGCUUGCCACAUCUCCAUAUCGCACCUGGAUUUUUUAGCAAAACGAAGGUACAUGAACUCGAGAGGUUGACAUUGAAAGGUAUGGAGAGCUUAAAGGAGUUGUACAUAGGGGAUACGAUUGUGGAUUCAGAUUGGCACUUCGGGAAACUUGACAAACUAACAUUUUGGAACCUAAGAGAGUUGGAAGUUGUCGUAUGGAAAGGGGUGGUGCCUCAUGCUUGCUUCCCUAAACUUCAUGUGUUACUGAUCUCUGACUGCCACAACAUCAGGACAGUCUCAUGGAUCAAGCAGCUCCCAUGCCUAGGUGAGGUAUAUUUGAUUCACUGUGAUUCAAUGUUGGAGUUGGUAGCUGCAGCUGAAGGGGGAGGAAGCAUGUCAUCCGCUGCGGAUUCGUUUCCCCGGCUCAAGGUACUUGGACUGAGUGGUCUUGGGAACCUGCACAACAUAUGUGAUGGCACUCCUGUAUUCCCUUGUUUGAAGCGCUUGCUUGUGUACAAUUGUUCGAGGCUGGCCAAAUUGCCAUUCGGGUUAUACAAGGAAGAGUGUGUGCCGGUGAUACUAGGCAGACAAGACUGGUGGGAACAACUAGUCUGGGAGAAUAGUAGCACGGAAUCUACUUUAAACUCAUUCUUCAGGGAACUGCCGUCGAGUUUUCAAGGAAAUUUUGAAGAUGUUCGCAGGGCAUUAACUCGUUAUUAA
rnacentral:rRNA from 1 species